rnacentral:rRNA from 1 species
AUGGGGAACAUACUAGAAGCUCUACUUCGAUCAUGUGCUAGUAAGUUGCAAGAUAUCAUUACCAAUGAAGCCAUACUAAUCUUAGGGGUGGAAGAAGAGCUCACAAAACUGCUACAACGAGUUGAACUAAUUCAGUGUUGUAUAUAUGAUGCUGAGAAAAGGAGGGCAAAAGAGUUAGCAGUAAACAAUUGGCUUGGCCAACUGAGAGAUGUUAUAUAUGAUGUUGAUGAAAUUCUGAACGUGGCUAAAUGCAAAGGAAGCAAGCUACUUCCUAACCACCCUUCAUCAUUAUCAAGUAAAUCAGCUGCAUGUAAAGGUCAUUCAGUUUUCCCUUGCUUUUGUAAUAUUGGUUCACGUCGUGACAUUGCUGUUCGGAUUAGGACCCUCAACAAAAAGAUAGAGAACAUUUCAAAGGACAAAAUAUUCUUAACAUUCAACAGUAGUGCAAAACCUAAUGGAAGUGGUCCAACAUCCAAACUGAUAAGAAGUUCCAACCUUGUUGAGCCCAACCUUGUGGGAAAGGAAAUCAUACAUUCUAGCAGGAAGUUGGUGGACUUGGUGCUUGCAAACAAGGAAAAGAAGUCUUACAAGCUCGAUGUUGUUGGAACCGGAGGAGUCGGUAAGACAACACUAGCUCAUAAAGUAUACAAUGACCAAAAAAUAAAAGGAAGCUUCAAGAUGCAUGCAUGGAUUUGUGUUUUGCAAGACUACAGUGAAGUAACUCUUUUGAAGGAGGUGCUCCGAAAUAUUGGUGUGCAUCAUGAGCAAGGUGAAACCAUAGCUGAGCUACAGAGAAAGCUUGCAGAAACAAUAGAGGGAAAGAGUUUCUUUCUGGUUCUAGAUGAUGUAUGGCAUUCCAAUGUAUGGAUGGAUCUAUUAAGGCCUGCGUUACACAAAACAACAUCUGGAGUAAUGUUGGUAACCACACGAGAUGAUCAAAUUACAAGGAGAAUAGGCGUAGAGCAUACCCAUCGAGUUGAUCUCAUGUCAGUAGAGGUGGGAUGGGAGCUACUUUGGAAGAGCAUGAAUAUUGAUGAGAAAGAAGUGCAGAAUUUAAGAAACACGGGGAUUGAGAUUAUUCGUAAAUGCGGUUGCCUCCCUCUUGCAAUGAAAGUUACCGCUAGUGUUCUGGCAAGCAGGAAUCGAACAGAUAAUGAGUUGAAAAAGAUUUUGAGAAGAUAUGCUUGCUCCCAGAACAUGUUGUCUAAUGAAAUAGAAGGAGUUUUGUAUCUAAGCUACGAUGAGUUACCAUAUCGUCUGAAGCAGUGUUUUCUUUAUUGUGCAUUGUAUAUUGAAGAUUCUACCAUUCUUCGCCGUGUAAUUACCUGGUUAUGGAUUGCUGAAGGCUUCAUUGAGGAGCAACAAGGCCAACUUCUAGAAGACACAGCAGAGGAGUACUACUAUGAGCUAAUCCAUCAAAAUCUCCUCCAACCAGAUAACGGAUCUUUUAACCAGGCUGAAUGCAAAAUGCAUGACCUCUUAAGACAGAUUGCUUUGAGUAUAUCAAAAAAAGAGUGUUUUAUUGGUGAUAUUGAAACAUUAAGUGGUGAGAAUAUGUCAAAACUACGACGAGUUACUGCCGUGAGUAAGAAGGAUAAAUUAGUGUUGCCUAGCAUGAAUAAGGUGGAAGCUAAGGUUAUAUAG